rnacentral:rRNA from 1 species
AACGAACGCUGGCGGCGUGCCUAACACAUGCAAGUCGAACGGAUUUGAGGGGCUUGCUCCUCAAGUUAGUGGCGCACGGGUGAGUAACGCGUAGAUAAUCUGCCUGAUGAUCUGGAAUAACACUUCGAAAGGGGUGCUAAUACCGGAUAAGCCCACGGGGUCUUUGGAUUCUGCGGGAAAAGGGGGGGACCUUCGGGCCUUCUGUCAUCAGAUGAGUCUGCGUACCAUUAGCUAGUUGGUAGGGUAAUGGCCUACCAAGGCUACGAUGGUUAGCUGGUUUGAGAGAAUGAUCAGCCACACUGGAACUGAGACACGGUCCAGACUCCUACGGGAGGCAGCAGUGGGGAAUUUUGCGCAAUGGGCGAAAGCCUGACGCAGCAACGCCGCGUGAGUGAUGAAGGCUUUCGGGUCGUAAAGCUCUGUCGAGGGGAAAGAAGUGUAUUGUGGCUAAUAUCCACGAUACUUGACGGUACCCCUAAAGGAAGCACCGGCUAACUCCGUGCCAGCAGCCGCGGUAAUACGGGGGGUGCAAGCGUUGUUCGGAAUUAUUGGGCGUAAAGCGCGCGUAGGCGGCCUCGUAAGUCCGUUGUGAAAGUCAAAUGCUCAACCUUUGAAAGCCGAUGGAUACUGUGAGGCUAGAGUCCGGAAGAGGCGAGUGGAAUUCCUGGUGUAGCGGUGGAAUGCGCAGAUAUCACGAGGAACACCAAUAGCGAAAGCAGCUCGCUGGGACGGUACUGACGCUANGCGCGAAAGCGUGGGGAGCGAACAGGAUUAGAUACCCUGGUAGUCCACGCCGUAACGAUGGGCACUAGUGGUGGGAGUGUCGACUCCUCCCGUGCCGUCGCUACGCACUAAGUGCCCGCUGGG